GUUAAGUCACGGCAACGAGCGAGACCCACGCCCACAGUUGCCAGCGUACUCUCCGGAGUGACGGGUACACUGUGGGACCGCCGCUGCUAAAGCGGAGGAAGGAAUGGGCAACGGUAGGUCAGUAUGCCCCGAAUAUCCCGGGCUACACGCGAGCUACAAUGGUUGGUACAAUGGGGUAUCUACCCCGAAAGGGGACGGGAAUCUCCUAAAACCAAUCUUAGUUCGGAUUGAGGGCUGCAACUCGCCCUCAUGAAGCUGGAAUCCGUAGUAAUCGCGUUUCAACAGAACGCGGUGAAUACGUCCCUGCUCCUU
rnacentral:rRNA from 1 species